AACGCGUGAGUAACCUGCCUUACACAAGGGGAUAGCCUUUGGAAACGAAGAAUAAUACCCUAUAAAACCAUAAAAGCACAUGCUAGAAUGGUCAAAGUGAUAGCGGUGUAAGAUGGACUUGCGUCUGAUUAGCUAGUUGGUGAGAUAAAAGCUCAUCAAGGCAACGAUCAGUAGCCGGCUUGAGAGAGUGUACGGCCACAUUGGGACUGAGACACGGCCCAG
rnacentral:rRNA from 1 species